rnacentral:rRNA from 1 species
GAUGAACGCUGGCGGCGUGCCUAAUACAUGCAAGUCGAGCGAACGGACGAGAAGCUUGCUUCUCUGAUGUUAGCGGCGGACGGGUGAGUAACACGUGGAUAACCUACCUAUAAGACUGGGAUAACUUCGGGAAACCGGAGCUAAUACCGGAUAAUAUUUUGAACCGCAUGGUUCAAAAGUGAAAGACGGUCUUGCUGUCACUUAUAGAUGGAUCCGCGCUGCAUUAGCUAGUUGGUAAGGUAACGGCUUACCAAGGCAACGAUGCGUAGCCGACCUGAGAGGGUGAUCGGCCACACUGGAACUGAGACACGGUUCAGACUCCUACGGGAGGCAGCAGUAGGGAAUCUUCCGCAAUGGGCGAAAGCCUGACGGAGCAACGCCGCGUGAGUGAUGAAGGUCUUCGGAUCGUAAAACUCUGUUAUUAGGGAAGAACAUAUGUGUAAGUAACUGUGCACAUCUUGACGGUACCUAAUCAGAAAGCCACGGCUAACUACGUG